rnacentral:rRNA from 1 species
CGCGUAGGCGGCUAUUCAAGUCAGAUGUGAAAGCCCGCGGCUCAACCGUGGAAGUGCAUUUGAAACUGUGUAGCUUGAGUACUGGAGGGGGUAGUGGAAUUCCCGGUGUAGAGGUGAAAUUCGUAGAUAUCGGGAGGAAUACCGGUGGCGAAGGCGACUACCUGGCCAGAUACUGACGCUGAGGUGCGAAAGCGGUGGGGAGCAAACA